GACGAACGCUGGCGGCGUGCUUAACACAUGCAAGUCGAACGCUGAAGCCCUGGCUUUUGUUGGGUUGGAUGAGUGGCGAACGGGUGAGUAACACGUGAGUAACCUGCCCUCUUCUUUGGGAUAACGCCCGGAAACGGGUGCUAAUACUGGAUAUUCACUGAUCUUCGCAUGGGGGUUGGUGGAACGGUUUGUUCUGGUGGGGGAUGGGCUCGCGGCCUAUCAGCUUGUUGGUGGGGUGAUGGCCUACCAAGGCUUUGACGGGUAGCCGGCCUGAGAGGGUGACCGGUCACAUUGGGACUGGGAUACGGCCCAGAGUGCGGCGGGAGGCAGCAGUGGGGAAUAUUGCACAAUGGGCGGAAGCAGGAUGCAGCGACGCGGCGUGAGGGACGGAGGCUUGCGGGUUGUAAACCUCUUUCGCUAAUGGUCAAGCCGCAACAGGGGGUUGUGGUGAGGGUAGUGGGUAAAGAAGCGCCGGCUAACUACGUG
rnacentral:rRNA from 1 species